GAGCGGCCGUGAGGGGCCGUGAGGGGCCGUGAGGGCGGGACCCGCCGGGGGCAGCCGGGGGAAGGUGCCGAGCGAGCCGAACUCCGCAGGCAGACAGUCCCUGCCAAGGGGGAAAGGCUGCGGGGCCGAGGAGUCCCUCAGCUGGAGCGUUUCCAGGCUGCAGAGCUCAGGGACAGCGCAGGUUCCUGAGGGGCAGGAGCUGCUGCCCCUCAGAGCUCGGGUGCUGUGACAGCGCUGGAGACGCGGCUGAGGAGCGGCCUCAAAAGCCCCAAAGGGGCUCCAAGAGCCAUGGAGAGAGACUUUGGACAAGGGCCUGGAGUGACAGGACACAGGGUGUCCAGCACUGCCCAGAUGCCUCAGGGUGACACAGGAGCGCUGGUUCAGGUUUCCAGACAGUGGCACCAGGUCAGGAGGGGGUGACCUGCUCUGGGAACGCGCCUGACUCCUGUGACAACAUCAUCCACAUACCAGAAGAAUGAAACAGUGACUGAAAACCUUCAUGAAGUGCCUGUGAGCAGGUUUGCACAGAUCACAGCUUUAUUUCGCAAGAAAAAGUUGGAACUUGGGUUUGAUCUUACCAAAGGAGCCUCGGUGACCUUAGCAGGUGUAAAUUCCCCUGUCUCAGCUUUGAAUAUUCAUUUUAGAGAAGUCAAAUGAUAAAAGAAGUGGGCAAAGUAUACCAAGGAGUAAACUGCUGCCAGUUCUGUCGGCAGGGAACUUUCUGUGCAGUGCAGAGGAGCUCUGGCUGUUCAAUCCUGACCAUCAUCCAGCAGCUUCCCCAGGAAAAACUGUGGGGUUGGGUUAAUUCAUAAAGAGUAAAAGAGAAAAGCUGAAAGGGGGAAAAGCCCAAGUUCAUAACUGCUUGAGGAAACCUCAACGAGACUCACAUUUCUGAGUGCAGCAGAACUCUAUGGAAACUUAAAUUUUGCUUCUGUGUAGAGCAAAAACCUGGGAAAUUCACUAUAACUCUUUUUCCUUUUGCAUAUUUCCCUUAUAAGUAGUAUUACAGUCAUCUAACCGAGGUGUUAGUCACUCUUUGGAAGGUUCAAUGCAGACUAAUUGAAAACAGGUAAUUAUUAUUGUUGUAAAGGUUGUUGCCAGGCACUUGCCACGUGCAGCUGUGGCUGCUGCAGCCUUUCCUCCCCAUCUGGGGCAGAAUUCCAACAUCACAGCAAAACUUUAGGAACUGAAGUUGCUCCCCACAUCCACAGAACUAAAUCCUUGCAGGAUCCAAUUUGGACAGGCUGUUUCUUUCAUCUCCUGAGGCAGUGCUGUGUUCCCAGCAUGGAUGAAAGGGAAUAUUUUCAGGAAUAAAAUCCCCUGGGAUUUCUGUAACCAUGGUAACACAUAUAGAUAGCAGGCCUGCUUCCAACCCAGGUUUUAUUGUUCCAGCAGUAAAGAUCUGGGUCCUACAAAUAACCAUCCUGGAAUAAAGUACUGCCCUUUUGCUUUCCCAUCAAAAUAAAAUUUGAAACAUUUAAUAUAUUGCUACAGUUGAACAUUCAGGAUAAAGUGCCAAGAUCAGCUCCAUCAAAUCUAACUGGGAUGUCUCAUUGCCUAAGCCACAGUGAGAAAGGGGAGAGUAUUCAGACACUUAAUGAAUACCAGGUAAAUAUGAAUAUUUUUGUAAUAAUAAAUUCAUAUUUCACUGCUGAAUAAAUACCAGAACUUAAGCCUGAAAUAAAAAUUAAAAAAUAGAAAGCAUCCCCAUCAAAUUUUCAUGUGUUUUAUUGAGGUGAACAUACACAUGGUCCACAUAGUCAAUGAAAAUAGUCAUAAAAUAAUUUAAGAACUUGUGUUGAAAGGUUUUAGCAGCACCAUUGGUAUUGGAAUAGCAGAAAACACAUCUCAGGAGGGCAGUGAUGCCUGGAUCAAAUGCCAUCAUUUGGAACAGGGAUGGGAAUGGCUUUGUGGGAUGCUCUGGGGAGUUGGGAGUUUUUAAAACACACUUUUUUUGCUAAAUACUUUUGACGAUUAUUGUUACAAAAAAUACAACUAAAUAAGAUACUGCAUAGUAUUUUAAUUAACAUGAAAUCGACAUUGAGGUGUGUAAAGCAAGACUCAAAUCUCUGCUUCCACAUACAUUUCAUUUCUGAGUAGAGAAAUCUAAAAUUUAAAACCAAAAUAUAGACCUAGUGUAUUCUCUAAAAGACACACUUUAGGUGGAACAUAUCAGACUACGAAAAUACAUAUCUUCCAUUCUGUUUAAUAAUUUACU